rnacentral:rRNA from 1 species
GAUGAACGCUGGCGGCGUGCCUAAUACAUGCAAGUCGAGCGAAUGGAUUAAGAGCUUGCUCUUAUGAAGUUAGCGGCGGACGGGUGAGUAACACGUGGGUAACCUGCCCAUAAGACUGGGAUAACUCCGGGAAACCGGGGCUAAUACCGGAUAACAUUUUGAACCGCAUGGUUCGAAAUUGAAAGGCGGCUUCGGCUGUCACUUAUGGAUGGACCCGCGUCGCAUUAGCUAGUUGGUGAGGUAACGGCUCACCAAGGCAACGAUGCGUAGCCGACCUGAGAGGGUGAUCGGCCACACUGGGACUGAGACACGGCCCAGACUCCUACGGGAGGCGGCAGUAGGGAAUCUUCCGCAACGGACGAAAGUCUGACGGAGCAACGCCGCGUGAGUGAUGAAGGCUUUCGGGUCGUAAAACUCUGUUGUUAGGGAAGAACAAGUGCUAGUUGAAUAAGCUGGCACCUUGACGGUACCUAACCAGAAAGCCACGGCUAACUACGUGCCAGCAGCCGCAGUAA